rnacentral:rRNA from 1 species
UACGAAGGGGGCUAGCGUUGCUCGGAAUCACUGGGCGUAAAGGGUGCGUAGGCGGGUCUUUUAAGUCAGGGGUGAAAUCCUGGAGCUCAACUCCAGAACUGCCUUUGAUACUGAAGAUCUUGAGUUCGGGAGAGGUGAGUGGAACUGCGAGUGUAGAGGUGAAAUUCGUAGAUAUUCGGAAGAACACCAGUGGCGAAGGCGGCUCACUGGACCGGUAUUGACGCUGAGGUGCGAAAGCGUGGGGAGCAAACAGG